rnacentral:rRNA from 3 species
GGGUUGUGAGGUUAAGCGACUAAGCGUACACGGUGGAUGCCCUGGCAGUCAGAGGCGAUGAAGGGCGUGCUAAUCUGCGAUAAGCGCCGGUAAGGUGAUAUGAACCGUUAUAACCGGCGAUACCCGAAUGGGGAAACCCAGUGUGAUUCGUCACACUAUCAUUAACUGAAUCCAUAGGUUAAUGAGGCGAACCGGGGGAACUGAAACAUCUAAGUACCCCGAGGAAAAGAAAUCAACCGAGAUUCCCCCAGUAGCGGCGAGCGAACGGGGAGGAGCCCAGAGCCUGAAUCAGCAUGUGUGUUAGUGGAAGCGUCUGGAAAGGCGCGCGAUACAGGGUGACAGCCCCGUACACAAAAGCGCAUGUGCUGUGAGCUCGAUGAGUAGGGCGGGACACGUGGUAUCCUGUCUGAAUAUGGGGGGACCAUCCUCCAAGGCUAAAUACUCCUGACUGACCGAUAGUGAACCAGUACCGUGAGGGAAAGGCGAAAAGAACCCCGGCGAGGGGAGUGAAAAAGAACCUGAAACCGUGUACGUACAAGCAGUGGGAGCCCCACCACCAAAGCAUUCUCUGGUGUUGAAGGCCCUGCAAAGCAGCAUCGCGGUGGCGGAGCGUCGUUUGCGACGCCCAACACACAAAACAAGCGGUGAGUGCUUUGGGGUGGGGUGACUGCGUACCUUUUGUAUAAUGGGUCAGCGACUUAUAUUCUGUAGCAAGGUUAACCGAAUAGGGGAGCCGGAGGGAAACCGAGUCUUAAUUGGGCGUUAAGUUGCAGGGUAUAGACCCGAAACCCGGUGAUCUAGCCAUGGGCAGGUUGAAGGUUGGGUAACACUAACUGGAGGACCGAACCGACUAAUGUUGAAAAAUUAGCGGAUGACCUGUGGCUGGGGGUGAAAGGCCAAUCAAACCGGGAGAUAGCUGGUUCUCCCCGAAAGCUAUUUAGGUAGCGCCUCGUGAAUUCAUCUCCGGGGGUAGAGCACUGUUUCGGCUAGGGGGCCAUCCCGGCUUACCAACCCGAUGCAAACUGCGAAUACCGGAGAAUGUUAUCACGGGAGACACACGGCGGGUGCUAACGUCCGUCGUGAAGAGGGAAACAACCCAGACCGCCAGCUAAGGUCCCAAAGUCAUGGUUAAGUGGGAAACGAUGUGGGAAGGCCCAGACAGCCAGGAUGUUGGCUUAGAAGCAGCCAUCAUUUAAAGAAAGCGUAAUAGCUCACUGGUCGAGUCGGCCUGCGCGGAAGAUGUAACGGGGCUAAACCAUGCACCGAAGCUGCGGCAGCGACACUCAGGUGUUGUUGGGUAGGGGAGCGUUCUGUAAGCCUGCGAAGGUGGCCUGUGAGGGUUGCUGGAGGUAUCAGAAGUGCGAAUGCUGACAUAAGUAACGAUAAAGCGGGUGAAAAGCCCGCUCGCCGGAAGACCAAGGGUUCCUGUCCAACGUUAAUCGGGGCAGGGUGAGUCGACCCCUAAGGCGAGGCCGAAAGGCGUAGUCGAUGGGAAACGGGUUAAUAUUCCCGUACUUGGUGUUACUGCGAAGGGGGGACGGAGAAGGCUAUGUUGGCCGGGCGACGGUUGUCCCGGUUUAAGCGUGUAGGUGUGUGUUCCAGGUAAAUCCGGUUCACUUUAACACUGAGGCGUGAUGACGAGGCACUACGGUGCUGAAGCAACAAAUGCCCUGCUUCCAGGAAAAGCCUCUAAGCAUCAGGUAACAUCAAAUCGUACCCCAAACCGACACAGGUGGUCAGGUAGAGAAUACCAAGGCGCUUGAGAGAACUCGGGUGAAGGAACUAGGCAAAAUGGUGCCGUAACUUCGGGAGAAGGCACGCUGACACGUAGGUGAAGUGAUUUACUCAUGGAGCUGAAGUCAGUCGAAGAUACCAGCUGGCUGCAACUGUUUAUUAAAAACACAGCACUGUGCAAACACGAAAGUGGACGUAUACGGUGUGACGCCUGCCCGGUGCCGGAAGGUUAAUUGAUGGGGUCAGCGCAAGCGAAGCUCCUGAUCGAAGCCCCGGUAAACGGCGGCCGUAACUAUAACGGUCCUAAGGUAGCGAAAUUCCUUGUCGGGUAAGUUCCGACCUGCACGAAUGGCGUAAUGAUGGCCAGGCUGUCUCCACCCGAGACUCAGUGAAAUUGAACUCGCUGUGAAGAUGCAGUGUACCCGCGGCAAGACGGAAAGACCCCGUGAACCUUUACUAUAGCUUGACACUGAACAUUGAGCCUUGAUGUGUAGGAUAGGUGGGAGGCUUUGAAGUGUGGACGCCAGUCUGCAUGGAGCCGACCUUGAAAUACCACCCUUUAAUGUUUGAUGUUCUAACGUGGACCCGUAAUCCGGGUUGCGGACAGUGUCUGGUGGGUAGUUUGACUGGGGCGGUCUCCUCCUAAAGAGUAACGGAGGAGCACGAAGGUUGGCUAAUCCUGGUCGGACAUCAGGAGGUUAGUGCAAUGGCAUAAGCCAGCUUGACUGCGAGCGUGACGGCGCGAGCAGGUGCGAAAGCAGGUCAUAGUGAUCCGGUGGUUCUGAAUGGAAGGGCCAUCGCUCAACGGAUAAAAGGUACUCCGGGGAUAACAGGCUGAUACCGCCCAAGAGUUCAUAUCGACGGCGGUGUUUGGCACCUCGAUGUCGGCUCAUCACAUCCUGGGGCUGAAGUAGGUCCCAAGGGUAUGGCUGUUCGCCAUUUAAAGUGGUACGCGAGCUGGGUUUAGAACGUCGUGAGACAGUUCGGUCCCUAUCUGCCGUGGGCGCUGGAGAACUGAGGGGGGCUGCUCCUAGUACGAGAGGACCGGAGUGGACGCAUCACUGGUGUUCGGGUUGUCAUGCCAAUGGCACUGCCCGGUAGCUAAAUGCGGAAGAGAUAAGUGCUGAAAGCAUCUAAGCACGAAACUUGCCCCGAGAUGAGUUCUCCCUGAGACUUUAAGUCUCCUGAAGGAACGUUGAAGACGACGACGUUGAUAGGCCGGGUGUGUAAGCGCAGCGAUGCGUUGAGCUAACCGGUACUAAUGAACCGUGAGGCUUAACCUUACAACGCCGAAG